GAUGAACGCUAGCGGCAGGCUUAAUACAUGCAAGUCGAGGGGCAGCAUGAUUGUAGCAAUACAAUUGAUGGCGACCGGCAAACGGGUGCGGAACACGUACACAACCUUCCAACAAGUGGGGGAUAGCCCAGAGAAAUUUGGAUUAAUACCCCGUAACAUAGCGAUGUGGCAUCACAUUGCUAUUAUAGAUUUUUCGCUUGUUGAUGGGUGUGCGGCUGAUUAGGUAGUUGGCGGGGUAACGGCCCACCAAGCCUACGAUCAGUAACUGGUGUGAGAGCACGACCAGUCACACGGGCACUGAGACACGGGCCCGACUCCUACGGGAGGCAGCAGUAAGGAAUAUUGGUCAAUGGACGAAAGUCUGAACCAGCCAUGCCGCGUGGAGGAUGAAGGUCCUCUGGAUUGUAAACUUCUUUUAUAUGGGACGAAAAAAGACUUUUCUAAGUCGUCUGACGGUACCAUAUGAAUAAGCACCGGCUAACUACGUGCCAGCAGCCGCCGUAAGAC
rnacentral:rRNA from 1 species